rfam:Enterococcus sp. 3H8_DIV0648 scaffold00001, whole genome shotgun sequence.
AUCAGAGUAGGAAAUAAAGCGUCAAGUGCUGGAGGGAUGGGAUGUUGUCCUCUGGACGAAAGACUUUGGUCUGCGGUUUUAUUUUCGCAUUCGCUGCA